rnacentral:piRNA from 1 species
UCCCUGAUUGGUUGGUUGGUGUGGCAUUU